UACGGAGGGUGCAAGCGUUAAUCGGAAUUACUGGGCGUAAAGCGUGCGUAGGCGGUUCGUUAAGUCUGUUGUGAAAGCCCCGGGCUCAACCUGGGAAUGGCAAUGGAUACUGGCGAGCUAGAGUGUGUCAGAGGAUGGUGGAAUUCCCGGUGUAGCGGUGAAAUGCGUAGAGAUCGGGAGGAACAUCAGUGGCGAAGGCGGCCAUCUGGGACAACACUGACGCUGAGGCACGAAAGCGUGGGGAAGCAAACAGG
rnacentral:rRNA from 1 species